GGAGCCUUUAGCAAGCUGCAGUCCAGCUCAAUGCCCUUGGGCAAAUCACUGGAAUGAGUACAAGCUAGUCAUUCAGGGCCCUGCCUGCCUUCUCUUCAGGGGACUCAGACUAAGCUGUGGUGAUGGCAGGACACAGCCUGGCGAGCACAGGAAGAGGCAGAGGCGGCUCUAGGUAUUUUGCCACCCCAAGCACGGCAGGCACCAUGCCUGCGGGAAGUCCGCUGAAGCCGCGGGACCAGCGGACCCUCCGCAGGAAUGCUGCCGAAGACAACCUGCUUGCCGCCCUCGUGACGACUGGCAGAGCGCCUCCCAUGGCUUGCCACCCCAGGCAUGCGCUUGGCGUGCUGGUGCCUGGAGCCACCCAUGGAAAGAGCCCUGUUUAUCCUUCAAGAAUGCAUGUGAGGUCUGGGCUAUCGCACCGAGAUGAGAAAGUAGUGCAACGUCACAAUGGAAACAAUCUUGAGUUGUUUUUAUUUUUUGUCAUAG